rnacentral:rRNA from 1 species
GAUGAACGCUGGCUACAGGCUUAACACAUGCAAGUCGAGGGGAAACGACGGGAAAGCUUGCUUCCCCGGGCGUCGACCGGCGCACGGGUGAGUAACGCGUAUCCAACCUGCCUCUGACUGAGGGAUAACCCGUCGAAAGUCGGCCUAAUACCUCAUGGCAUCGUCUGCGGGCAUCCAACGACGAUUAAAGAUUUCAUCGGUCAGAGAUGGGGAUGCGUCUGAUUAGCUUGUUGGCGGGGUAACGGCCCACCAAGGCGACGAUCAGUAGGGGUUCUGAGAGGAAGGUCCCCCACAUUGGAACUGAGACACGGUCCAAACUCCUACGGGAGGCAGCAGUGAGGAAUAUUGGUCAAUGGGCGAGAGCCUGAACCAGCCAAGUAGCGUGCAGGAUGACGGCCCUAUGGGUUGUAAACUGCUUUUAUGCGGGGAUAAAGUGAGGGACGUGUCCUUCAUUGCAGGUACCGCAUGAAUAAGGACCGGCUAAUUCCGUG